rnacentral:lncRNA from 1 species
AGUGGCAAGGAAGAGUUAUAAAUAUAAGCUUACACAAAGGAUGGGAAUCUAUAUAUGCAUACAUAUUAAAAUAGGAUAAGGAACCCUUAGUUUGGGGGAACUUAAUAUAGACCAAAUACAAAUGAUAGCAAAAGCACAUUAAAAUAAGGAGGUAAACUUAGAAAUAGGAAAUUUAGCUAUACUAAAAAAAAAAACUAGAACAAAUAGAGGAUUGGUAACUUCAAUAAUGAUAGCACAAGUGUCCUAAACAAAUAAAUGUUUUCUUUAAUAUAUUAAAAUUUACGAUAUAUAAAUUAUAUUAUGAAUUAAAAUUCAUAUGAUAAUUAUUUUAUCAUAUGAAUUAUAUCUUUGAAUUUAUAAUGAAUAAUUUAAGUUAUAAUGG